rnacentral:piRNA from 1 species
UACUCUGGAAACAAAAAGGUGUUAGUUUG